CGUCAAAUCAUCAUGCCUCUUACGUUCUGGGCUACACACGUGCUACAAUGGUGACCACAAAGAGUCGCAAUAUGGUAACAUGGAGCCAAUCUCAAAAAAGUCAUCUCAAUUCGGAUUGUGGGCUGAAACUCGCCCACAUGAAGUCGGAUUUGCUAGUAAUCCCGAAUCAGCAUGUCGGGGUGAAUGCGUUCCCGGGUCUU
rnacentral:rRNA from 1 species